AUUGAACGCUGGCGGCAUGCCUUACACAUGCAAGUCGAACGGUAACAGGUUAAGCUGACGAGUGGCGAACGGGUGAGUAAUACAUCUGAACGUGCCCAGUUGUGGGGGAUAGCUCGGCGAAAGCCGGAUUAAUACCGCAUACGACCUAAUGGUGAAAGGGGGGGAUCGCAAGACCUCUCGCUAUUUGAGCGGCCGAUGUCAGAUUAGCUAGUUGGUGGGGUAAAAGCUCACCAAGGCGACGAUCUGUAGCUCGUCUGAGAGGACGACCAGCCACACUGGGACUGAGACACGGCCCAGACUCCUACGGGAGGCAGCAGUGGGGAAUUUUGGACAAUGGGCGCAAGCCUGAUCCAGCCAUGCCGCGUGCGGGAAGAAGGCCUUCGGGUUGUAAACCGCUUUUGUCAGGGAAGAAAUCCUUUGGGUUAAUACCUCGGGGGGAUGACGGUACCUGAAGAAUAAGCACCGGCUAACUACGUG
rnacentral:rRNA from 1 species